rnacentral:rRNA from 1 species
GACGAACGCUGGCGGCGUGCUUAACACAUGCAAGUCGAACGGAAAGGCCCUGCUUGCAGGGUCCUCGAGUGGCGAACGGGUGAGUAACACGUGGGUGCUCUGCCCUGCACUUCGGGAUAAGCCUGGGAAACUGGGUCUAAUACCUGAUAGGAGCCAUUUCUAGUGUGUUGGUUGGAAAGUUUUUUCGGUGUUGGACGAGCUCGCGGCCUAUCAGCUUGUUGGUGGGGUAAUGGCCUACCAAGGCGGCGACGGGUAGCCGGCCUGCGAGGGUGGACGGCGACAUAGGGACUGAGAGACGGCCCAGGCUCCUACGGGAGGCAGCAGGGGGGAAUAUUGCACAAGGGGCGCAAGCCUGAUGCAGCGACGCCGCGUGGGGGAUGACGGCCUUCGGGUUGAAAACUCCUUUCGCUAGGGACGAAGCUUUUUGUGACGGUACCCAGAUAAGAAGCACCGGCUAACUACGUG